rnacentral:tRNA from 2 species
AACAGGGUAGUUUAGAAAAAAUGUAAGAUUGUCAUUCUUAGGAGGGCGUGGUGUCCCCUGUUU